AAUAAAAUGUUUUUUUUUGACACGUGCAACGAAACUACACCGUACGUCUCCUUAUUGUACCGGGCUUCCUUUUGACUCUUGCCUCUCUCGCAGAACCCCCAAACCCUAAUCCCUAGUUUUCUCAUCAGUCGCGAAUCUCGUUGUCCUCUGCGCCACCUUCCAUCCUCUGCAAGAAGAAUGAGUCGCUCAAGUAGAACUCUUUACGUUGGUAACCUUCCUGGUGACAUUCGCGAGCGUGAAGUGGAAGAUUUGUUUUACAAGUAUGGACGAAUAGCGCAUAUUGAUUUGAAAGUUCCGCCUAGGCCUCCAGGUUAUGCUUUUGUGGAGUUCGAGGAGGCCCGUGAUGCAGAGGAUGCUAUCCGUGGUCGUGAUGGUUAUGAUUUUGAUGGACAUCGUUUGCGGGUGGAACUGGCGCAUGGGGGGCGUGGUCAUUCAUCAUCAACUGAUCGUUAUAGUAACCACAGCAGUGGCCGAGGGCCCCGUGGUGGAGUUUCCAGGCGAUCUGACUACAGAGUGCUAGUCACUGGAUUGCCGCCUUCUGCUUCCUGGCAGGAUCUUAAGGAUCACAUGCGUCGAGCUGGGGAUGUCUGUUUCUCCCAAGUUUUCCGGGAAGGGAGUGGCACUACAGGAAUUGUGGAUUAUACAAAUUAUGAUGAUAUGAAAUAUUCUAUCAGGAAGCUUGAUGAGUCUGAAUUCCGGAAUUCCUUUUCUCGUGCAACAAUACGUGUGAAGGAAUAUGAUUCUAGCCGCUCUAGGAGCCGCAGCCGCAGCCGUUCUUACUCGAGAGGAAAGAGUGGUAGCCGCAGCCCGAGUAACAGUCGGAGUAGGAGCAUGAGCAAGUCUCCUAAAGCUAAAUCUUCUGGCCGUUCAAGAUCCCGCUCGAGGUCUGCAUCUUCACGGUCUCCCUCUAAGUCUAGAGCAAAAUCUCUUUCAAGAUAUGGAUAUAUGCAGCGAUCUGGGGAUUGCAUAAUAUGAUCUUGAUGGGAUAUGGUUCAGUUGCCUACAACUCUUUUGGUUGUGGAGGUAUGAUGUCUUUUAGAUGGCAGCUUUGGAAUCCUUCAUGGUGACUGUUCUAAUAAGCAUCGUAAAUGUCCAUCGGUGCUAGAUAUGGGAACAAGAAGAUCAUGGAUUUUGAUGGUGAAGCGGGACUAUGAACUAAUUGGCAUAUGAAUUUUGGGACCGCCAUCUAUGUGUGGUAGAAACGUUUUAACUGUCUCCAAAGCUUCCGUGCUAAUUAAAGCAUACUCUCUGACUUCCAUAGUAUGAUUCUGGUUAUUCGUGUUUUUAAGGAGCUUUGUUGGCUUUUUGAAGGUUCUUAUCCUAACUUAAUUGGGCCAUUUAUUUAGGUUGAAUAUGAUGCUUUUCCCUUGUGUACUGCUAAAUGUUUGUGAAUAUCCUCUUUUCUAUUUUGAUUGUGGUAAACUCUGACGUGGAAUGGCAUACAAGGCUCUUGGAUCAGAGUUGUUAAGAGGAACAUGUGGAUAUUAAAUUGGGUUGUUUCUGGAACUUUUGCAGAUCUCCAUCAAGAUCCAGAUCCCCCUCACCAUCUCGCCAGAAACGUGCUAACAAAAGCCCAAAAAGGGGCAGCCCAAGUAAGAGUGAAAGCAGGAGUAGGAGCCGUACUCGUAGUAGGAGCAAAAGUCCAUCAAGGUGAGCUAUGGUAUUCGCUGGUUUCUGCUGCGCCCUAGAUCUGCAGAUAAGGUGCUCUCUGCUGGAUUAGAUGCGUAUUAGGAUCUGCAGUUGGUUGUCAAUCGUGGUUAACAGAGUUAUUGAUGUAUGAGGAACCAUUUUAUUUUGUGUUUUCUUGUAUGGGCAUGUUGCGGGACAUUUGAUCGCGAGAAUGGUGGAAUGUUGAAUUUGGCAUUUUGUCCAGAUGUAAUCAUGAAUUAAUAUUUCGUGGAGGGCCUGCAGAUGGCUUGGUCCUCGAUUAACUAUAACAUUUCCUUGUGGCGCUACAGAUUCUCCGA